GGUCAAUGAUGUGUUGGCAUGUAUUAUCUGAAUUUGCUGAUGUGUCCUAACAUUUGAGCUCUAGAAUUACGCUGAGACCUU
ensembl:snoRNA Snord45a small nucleolar RNA, C/D box 45A